UAAGAGGGAAUGAGAGGAGUAGAAUGGGACACUAAGUGGUUCUCAUCCUAAGCUUGCAGGGCCAAGUGCUGCCGGGUGUUGGAGAAGUAGUUUGGUUCUGAUGUAGAUGGAUAAUACAGGAUCUAGUGGGAGAUGGCACUCCUGGUCAUUUUCUUCUCUGUCCAUGGGAGGUGAGAGGUCAGCUGACAUCCUUCCCAUUCCAGAAGUAGCUACCAAACUCCAAGAGGCAGAGUCCCUGUCCCAGCACAGAAGAUCAUCCUGGGGCAGAGAGAGCCCAUGGGAUAGUGGAGGGGAUACUAGUAAGAUGAGCCCCAGAGACAGAGGAUGGAGGUGAAGUGAAGGAAGCACAGAGACACCACUGCAGGGACCUCGU
rnacentral:lncRNA from 1 species